rnacentral:rRNA from 1 species
CCUACGGGGGGCUGCAGUGGGGAAUAUUGGACAAUGGGGGCAACCCUGAUCCAGCCAUGCCGCGUGUGUGAAGAAGGCCCUCGGGUUGUAAAGCACUUUCAGUGAGGAAGAACGCCUGGUGGUUAAUACCCAUCAGGAAAGACAUCACUCACAGAAGAAGCACCGGCUAACUCCGUGCCAGCAGCCGCGGUAAUACGGAGGGUGCGAGCGUUAAUCGGAAUUACUGGGCGUAAAGCGCGCGUAGGUGGCUUGAUAAGCCGGUUGUGAAAGCCCCGGGCUCAACCUGGGAACGGCAUCCGGAACUGUCAAGCUAGAGUGCAGGAGAGGAAGGUAGAAUUCCCGGUGUAGCGGUGAAAUGCGUAGAGAUCGGGAGGAAUACCAGUGGCGAAGGCGGCUUUCUGGACUGACACUGACACUGAGGUGCGAAAGCGUGGGUAGCAAACAGGAUUAGAUACCCUGGUAGUC